GGAGUUGUGGCUCAGUGGUAGAGCACUUGCCUAGCAUGUGCAAGGCCCUGGGUUCGAUUCUCAGCACCA
rnacentral:tRNA from 1 species